rnacentral:sRNA from 1 species
CACUUGCUGCUGCUGCUGCACUUGUUGCUGCUGCACUUGCUGCUGCUGCACUUGCUGCUGCUGCACUUGCUGCUGCUGCACUUGAUGCUGCUGCACUUGCUGCUGCUGCACUUGCUGCUGCUGCACUUGAUGCUGCUGCACUUGCUGCUGCUGCACUUGCUGCUGCUGCUGCUGCACUUGCUGCUGUUGCUGUUGCUGCUGCAAUUGCAGUUGCAACUGCUGCUGCUGCUUGA